rnacentral:rRNA from 1 species
CAGGACGAACGCUGGCGGCACGCUUAACACAUGCAAGUCGAACGGAGUUUAGAGAGCUUGCUUUUAAACUUAGUGGCGGACGGGUGAGUAACACGUGAGCAAUCUGCCUUCAGAGGGGGAUAGCAGUUGGAAACGACUGAUAAUACCGCAUAAUAUAGUAGGAUCGCAUGAUUUAACUAUCAAAGAUUUAUCGCUGAAAGAUGAGCUCGGCGUCUGAUUAGAUAGUUGGUGAGGUAACGGCUCACCAAGUCGACGAUCAGUAGCCGGACUGAGAGGUUGAACGGCCACAUUGGGACUGAGACACGGCCCAGACUCCUACGGGAGGCAGCAGUGGGGAAUAUUGCACAAUGGGCGCAAGCCUGAUGCCAGCGAUGCCGCGUGAGGGAAGAAGGUUUUAGGAUUGUAAACCUCUGUCUUCAGGGACGAUAAUGACGGUACCUGAGGAGGAAGCUCCGGCUAACCACGUGCCAGCCGCAGC